rnacentral:lncRNA from 1 species
CAGCAGGAAGGUUUGUGCUGGAAAAUUUACAGGGUACACAAGGACUGGGGGGCCUAGAUGCUGUCUAGGUGGGCCUGGACACCUAGAAGGUGACCCCAGGACUGACCAUGGGUACAGAGUCAACUAACUGUUGCACUCCACCUCUGGAUAAGAGAAGAUCACCACUGCUUCACUCCUCUGGUUGGGGUGGUGAACUCCCAGCUGCAAGACUCUGACUAAGGGGUGCUUCGUGAGGAAGCUCCUUGGAAGUCCUGCCUCUCUCUAGGUCCUGGACAGCAUGUGGGUGACCAGGGAUUGACCACACUGAGUGUGAUAUGGAUCAGAAGGAUAGAAAAGGCAGCAACGACAAGUGAUUGUCUCUUCCUAAGUUUUCCUGUCUUUUGUUGCCCUUUUAUCUGCAGAGCAUGGUCUAAUAAACAGAGAAGGCUCAGGAGGGUCAGAAACACGGUGUUCUCUGAGUCUGCCUCAUUUCUCAGCCUACUUGCCAAGAAUUCCCAAAAAGGAAGCAUUGGAGGAUCAUUCCAAGGCUUGAGGUCCAGGACUACCCACUUCCCUUGGAAUGGUGUUGCCAUCACUGUUCUGGCACUGGAGAAAGGAUUCUACAUCGUUGGGAGAAAAGAAAAAGGAGAAUUUGGGCUUGCACUGAGAGGAUUACCUUUGGUGGUCUGGAAGUGGUGGUAAGUCCUGGACAAUUCUCACAUUAAUCGUUUUUGCCUGUUUAAAAUGGGAAAAAUAAUGCCUACUCUAUAGGACUGCUAGGAGGCUUAAGUAAGUAUGUGUGCUUGUAAACUCUCCACAGAUGCAUGCUGUCAUUAUGAUCUUUGCUGCACAAGCAUUAUUUAACGUCCUAAGUGUGAUUUUUUAAAUUUCACUCUCACAAAAGAUAGGUUUCCUCUUCAUAAUAAACAUGCGUCUACUUCCCUUUUUGAACGUAAGAUCCCAAACAAAAAGGAAAUUGAUGUCCUUAUAAAAAGGAGCCAAUGCAAGAAGCAUCUAGAAGUAACUUUAGAUGCAGUGUCAAGAAGUUUAUUAGUGACAGUCAUGUACAUAGCACAGUGUAGAGUAAUGCAAAUCUGUGCUUAUACCACCCAUUUAAAAUAAUUUUAGUUAGCACAUGAAUUUGUUGCAUAUAAACAGCACCUUUGACAAGUUAUUUAUUUAAAAGGGUCAGAUUCAGGCAUUGUUUCUAAAGUAGAACUUCAAUGAUAAAAUCUGAAAAUGUUAUUCUUUCAAUUAAAAAAAGUGAGUAGGUGUGUGUGUGUGUGCGUUUAUCACUGGUUUCAUGAGUAUUGCUGAUUCUCAUAAUAGACAGAUUAGAAAAUCUGACCAACUCUGUAUUAAUUAUCUAUUGUUGCACAACAGAUUACUCUAAUACUUAGUUAAAACAACAGACCUUUGUUAGUGUGUGGUUUUUGUGGGUCAGGUACAUAAAAGAGGUUCAGCUGAGUGGUUCUUGUUUGGAAUCUCUUAUGAGUUUUCAGCCAUGCUAUUAACAGGGGUUUUGAUCAUCUGAAGGUUUAACUGGGGCUGAAGAGCCUGCCCCCAAGAUGAGUCACUCUUGUUUAGUGGUUAGCAGGAAACCCCAGCUCCAUGCUGGCUAUUGGCAGGAGGCCUCGGUGUUUCACAAUGUGUACCUCUCCAUAGGAUUGCUUGAGUAUCUUCGCAACAUGGCAACCGGCGUCUCCCACAGGGACUGAUCUAAGAAAGAAUAAGGAAGAAGCCUCAAUGCCUUUUAUGUCUUAAUCAUGAGGUCAAAUACCAUCCCUUCUUCUAUAUUCUGUUUGCUAGAAGCAAGUUACUAAGUACAGCCCAUACUUAAAGGAAGAAGAAUUAGACUCUACUUUUUGAAAGGAGGAGUAUCAAAUAAUUUUUUAACAUGUUGCAAAACCAACAUAAGUUCUUUGGUAUAAAUUGCACUUUUCUAUUGUUGGUAUUCAGAACAAAACAUUUUUCACAAUUGCAAUAGCUACCUAUAUUAUUGGAUUCUCAGAAUACAGAACAUAAAUCUCUUUAUUGGUUAUGAAGAAAAUGAAUUCAGAGGCAUAAGGAGCUUUCUCCAGGUACAGAGAAGUUCAGUGUCCAACUCUAGACUUAGAUCUAGAAUUCUGAUAUAUAAUUUCAUAUGCAGUCAGAUUACAUCUAAAUAAUAAUAGCAAAAACAGGGCUCUUCUACUGUACUGUAAUUUACUUUUCCAACUUUUGGCUACUUACAAGAUCACAAACAUCUGGAUUUAAAUUGGAAACAUCUCAAAAAUCCAGAUGUUUCCAAAUAUAGGUGUUUUUUUUUUUAAGCCAUCAAAAACCCCUUGGUGAAUGAGUAACUAUGCAUGUUGAAUGGUUAUCCCAUUAAAAAUCUAACUCCCUUUCCCAAUUUAUGUUAUUCUAGGUGGAAAGUUUCUAAUGUAAUCCAGUGUUAAAUUAGGAGUUUGGACUGACUGAGGCAACAAGAUAUAAGAGAUGUCAGAUAGCAAAGUGAGGUGAGAGACAGGACAUCAAGUUGGAAAUUUUGAAAGAAACUCUCCUGAAACCGCACAGCUUCUGUGCCUCUCCUCUAACAUUCCUCACCUAGGCUGAGGUUAAGAAGGGGGAUGUUAGAGUGAGGCAUUUGAAUGUUAGAAAAGCAAUCCCCCCACCGCAAAUAAGGGAACAGCCUCCACACCAGACUGCUUAGAGUUGAUAAAAGACCUCUGUAGGCCAAAGGCGCAAGGAACUCGUACCUGGCUCAUGACUUAUAAGACUUUACCUAUGAGAAUUAGAAAGCUCAUGAAGAGUUCUUGAAUUUUCACUAAGAGGCAGUGAAAUCAUUACUUCCACAGAACAGGUUUAAAGGGAUAGCAGAAAAUGAAAAUAAAGAUACUUUUAUAACUAUCCCUCAUGCAGCCUCUAUGUUUAACACAUGGAUCCACUAAAAUAUAUCACAGACAUUUUCUGCCUUUUAAACAAAGUAUGGUGAGUUAUUAAAAAAAGGUUAAGUUAUUUUCAAUGUUAUCAUGACUAAUGCAAUAAUUAAAAAAACCUUGGAUUUGAAUACUACAUUUUCAAAGUAACUCAAUACAAUGAUGUCCCCAAGGCUUAUGGAGAUCUAUGGGGUUAUUUACCCCAGACUCAUAAUUCUUACAUGUGUGUUUCCAAUUUUCCUGACACGUCAUUUGGUUUCUAUAUUUUCCAUUGUCACUUUCACUAAUUUCUUCAUGCUUCUGUAUAUUAUCUC